rnacentral:rRNA from 1 species
UAAUACAUGCAAGUCGAACGAGAGCGACCGGUGCUUGCACUGGUCAAUCUAGUGGCGAACGGGUGAGUAACACGUGGGUAACCUGCCCUUCACAGGGGGAUAACCGGGAGAAAUUCCGACUAAUACCGCAUACGUCCUUUGGGGGCAUCCCCGGGGGAUGAAAGAAUUAUCGGUGAAGGAUGGGCAUGCGUGAUAUUAGGUAGUUGGCGGGGCAACGGCCCACCAAGCCCACGAUAUCUAGGGGUUCUGAGAGGAAGGUCCCCACAUUGGAACUGAGACACGGUCCAAACUCC